AGAAGCCCCGGCUAACUUCGUGCCAGCAGCCGCGGUAAUACGAAGGGGGCUAGCGUUGUUCGGAAUUACUGGGCGUAAAGCGCACGUAGGCGGAUUGUUAAGUCUGGGGUGAAAUCCCGGGGCUCAACCCCGGAACUGCCUCUGAUACUGGCAAU
rnacentral:rRNA from 1 species